CUCGUCAGUAGGGCCUGGGAGCCGGGGCGGGGGGUGGGGGGGCUUGGCCCUGGAGGCUGCUCACAGCAAACAGGAAGCUUGAAGGGUGAUUUCUCCCGCCUGAUAUUGUUUGCGAAGGCGGGAUCCAGGCCCCAUUUCCACACAGGAAACCAGGGAGGCUGGAGGGGGCAGGGAAGGAAUUCCCUGGGCCGCCAAGGGGGGCGGUGGGGGGGCAGAGCUGCCGGAGGCCCAGGUUUCAGAGUGCAGGCCGGGUGGGGGCCGUGGGGACACGGAGGCCCAGGCCCAGGGGUGCUCUCCCCAUGAGGUUUAGAGGAAAAUUCUGGAGCUGGCGCAGAGCAGUCCUCGUGGCAACAGGCAACAUCGGCGCCGUCGCAGCCGCUGCGGGCGUUCUUACUCACGGGAGCGUGUGCGUCCUUCGGACUUUCCCUGAUGUCCUUUUCGGGCCCAGGAUGCCGCCAGGCUUCCACAGUGGAGGUGGGGGCCCUGCCGAAACUCCCUGGGAUGAUCCCGGAGAAGGGCGCUGCCUCGCCGCCCCGAUGUACGAACCAGGGCAUCACUGUGGGCUUGGUGUUUAUUUCAUGCUUUGGGUUCUAAUCCAAUUGCAUUUUGUUUUGUUUUCUUUUAUUAUUAUUUUUUUUUCUUUUUAGGGCUGCACCUGCGGCAUGUGGAGGGUCUCAGUCUAGGGCGCCCGUCGGAGCUACCGCUGCUGGCAUAGGCCACACCCACGGCAACUCGCAUCUGCGACCUACCCCACAGCUCACAGCAAUGCUAGAUCCUUAGCCCACUGAGGGAGGCCAGGGAUCGAACCUGUAUCUUCAUGGAUACUAGUCGGGUUUGCUUCUGCUGAGCCACAACAGGAACUCCUAUAAUGCAAUUUUUAAAAUUUUGUUAUUGAAAGUUCCUCCAGCUUUGGGCGCUGGGAAUCCUUGCAUGUGGCCAGAGUCUUUUUUUUUUUUUUUUUUUUUUUCUUCUUUUUUUUGGCUGCCCCAUGGCAUAUGGAGUUUCCGGGCCAGGGAUCAGAUCUGAGCCACAGUUGCAACCUACACCACAACUGCGGGAAUGCCGGAUUCUUAACCCAUUGUGCUGGGCCAGGGAUCAGACCUGCGUCCUGGCGCUGCAGAGAUGCCGCUGAUCCCCUGGCACCACGGCGGGAACUCCGCCAGAACCGUUUUAAAAGUCCUGGAUGUUUGCCUGCGGGCCCCUGCGCCCUCCCAGGAGGGCCUGGUCUGGAGCCGCCCAGGGCAGAUUCAGCCCCCACCUGGCUUUUCUGCUGACUCUACAUCAGCGGCCUCCCUGUCCUGACCAGGCUCCCGUGCCCGCGGGCCCUGGUCAUUGAGCCUCUGAAGUGGCAGCAGUGAGGGUUGAGGCCCUGGGGGAGGAUCUGUAGUCUCAGUGUCCUGAGCAGAAGGGAGCUCCGGGGGCCGGGACCAUAGCUGGGAGGCCGCCUGCCCACAGCCGCCCCCACCCCAGCAGUCCUGGAGACCCCGGGAUGGAGUGGCCAUGGGACCCUUGGGGGCUGCCUGAGCCUGGGGCCACGGCCACAGCCAGCAUCAGGCUCUGGGCCUCACAGGGAACUCAGUGGCUGACCAUCGGGGAGGCGGCCUCCGUGCCCAAGAGGCCAGUCUAAUGGCCGUGGGACCUGGCAGGCCGGCCUGGCCCCGCCCGGGGCUGGAGAAGGAGCAGGGACAUCCCUGAGGACCCACAGGGCGGCUCCAGGCUGAGGUAUCCUGAAUCCCAGCCCCGCUGCCGUCACUUGGGGCACGUGAGGUCGGUUGGGACUUGCUACCCACCCCUGGGGCCGCCAGGCCGCCUGCCACCUGGCCGGCCCUCACCCCUGCUGGCGCCUGCUUUUCUUGGCAUUUGGUUGAACAUGGCCAUGGGUAAGAAAUGGCUUCACUGUUCUCUGCAGACCCGGGGUCCCACUGAGAGGAGACUCGCAAGCUGGGGUGCGCCCGCAUCCCGGAGCCACGGGAGUGGGGCCUGAGCUCUGGCGUCGUGACCGCGCCCCCGCCCCCCAGGAAGGAGCGCUGCCUGCUGUGUCUCAGUCACCCCGACUUUGGACACACAUCUCUUAGGCGUGAAUAAAUCUCUGCUGUCUCCCCUGCA
rnacentral:lncRNA from 1 species